UACGUAGGGUGCAAGCGUUAAUCGGAAUUACUGGGCGUAAAGCGUGCGCAGGCGGUUGUGCAAGACAGAUGUGAAAUCCCCGGGCUUAACCUGGGAAUUGCAUUUGUGACUGCACGGCUAGAGUGUGUCAGAGGGGGUAGAAUUCCAGGUGUAGCGGUGAAUGCGUAGAUAUCUGGAGGAAUACCGGUGGCGAAGGCGGCAUCCUGGACCAUUACUGACGCUGAGGCGCGAAAGCUAGGGAGCAACGGG
rnacentral:rRNA from 1 species